UACGUAGGGUGCGAGCGUUGUCCGGAAUUAUUGGGCGUAAAGGGCUCGUAGGCGGUUUGUCGCGUCGGGAGUGAAAUCCACUGGCUUAACUGGUGGCUUGCUUUCGAUACGGGCAGACUGGAGGUAUGCAGGGGAGAACGGAAUUCCUGGUGUAGCGGUGAAAUGCGCAGAUAUCAGGAGGAACACCGGUGGCGAAGGCGGAUCUCUGGGCCUUACCUGACGCUGAGGCGCGAAAGCUAGGGGAGCGAACAGG
rnacentral:rRNA from 1 species